UUAUUUAUUAUGGUCUUUCGGAUUAAUUGUUUAACCCCAGUGUCCCAUGCUGGGGAGAAGAUAGGCACAAAAUCUAUCAUUUUUUGGGUUAAUUUCAGACUCUGUUGCAGGAUCUGAAGUUAUUUUGCAUGGUUAAAUUAUAAUGUGACCGUGACUGCUAGACUUUCUAGUUGCAAACGUUAGUCGAACAUGUCCAUAGUUGAUGUGAUGAACUACACCUGUGUGAAUUUGCACCAAAACCUUCAUUGACGUCAUUUUGUUUGCAGAUGCCACUUGGAUUGAUCGUUUGUUAUCUAAUGCAGUGAGAUCACACAAAGAGCAUGUCUGUGUAAUCUCAGACAUGGCAUCAGGUUCAGUAAUGUACAACUGACAUCAAACGGCUGUCGUGGAAAAAUCAGCUGAGCUCAAAUGAAGUGAAGACCCAGAGUCAGAGUCCUCAGAUAUGUGGUACAAGUAGCCAUCCUCUGUCUCUUCUGUGUAACCAUGAGUCCACAAGGUCAUAGAUGCUUCCCAUGGACCACAUUGGAGAUGGGAACCAGGCCUUUACGUCUCCGUCCUUACCCAC